GACGAACCGAGCGAACGUUGUUCGGAAUCACUGGCUUAAAGGGCGCGUAGGCGGGUGCUCAAGUCCGUGGUGAAAUCCUCCGGCUCAACCGGAGAACUGCCUCGGAUACUGGGUGCCUCGAGGGUGGUAGGGGUAUGCGGAACUAUCGGUGGAGCGGUGAAAUGCGUUGAUAUCGAUAGGAACUCCGGUGGCGAAGGCGGCAUACUGGACCACCUCUGACGCUGAGGCGCGAAAGCCAGGGGAGCAAACGGG
rnacentral:rRNA from 1 species